GGUGAGUGCCAGCAGGAAAAGGCUGAGCGGUCUGGUGGGAACCUAUUUGGGGCAGGGGGAGGGGCGGAGGAGCGAGACCCAAUCUAGCUCCGGAGCCCUUGGAGAAAGUUUGCGCAACACGUCUCUGUCCAGCCAUCCAGGCAGGCAGGCAGGCCAGAAUAAUGCUUCCCCAGGAGAGAGCCGAGGCAAGCUGAAGUCAGUGCACCUAGCGGUGUGGGCUCCCGGCACCACUCUCCCCACUGGGUAGCUGGUGACUAAUGGAUGAGCCUCUCCAGUUCUGUUCUGUUCCCACCCAAAGUCCGCUAAUAGGACCGUAAUUAAGAUGAAAUGAAGAGGUCGAAGACUGCAUGCUAGGUUUCUGCAGCAACAUCCAGAAAGUUGAGGGCGCCACACUCUCCAAGGGGUCUGCGGAAGCGGGAGUUUGGGGCUGCGAUUUUCAGGGCACUAUGGAUGCUCAGAUGCAAGCUGCAAGAAACCUAACACGCCCCUUGCAAAAGCUGCAGCUGCCUCUUGCAGGGUUCUGCAGACCUCACCCUUCUCGUGGCCAGACACCCUGUGAUGAAUUUUGGCCUGGGAUCCGUUAUUAU
rnacentral:lncRNA from 1 species